rnacentral:rRNA from 1 species
AAGGAGGUGAUCCAGCCAUGCCGCGUGCAGGAUGAAGGCCCUAUGGGUCGUAAACUGCUUUUGUUGUGGAGCAAUAAGGAUUACGUGUAGUCCGACGAGAGUACACAGCGAAUAAGCAUCGGCUAACUCCGUGCCAGCAGCCGUGGUAAUACGGAGGACGCGAGCGUUAUCCGGAUUUAUUGGGUUUAAAGGGUGCGCAGGCGGACUUUUAAGCGGGAGGUGAAAAUGCGGCGCUCAACGUCGUACCUGCCUCUCGAACUGGGGGUCUUGAAUUCUCGUGCCGUGGGAGGAAUGUGUGGUGUAGCGGUGAAAUGCAUAGAGAUCACACAGAACACCGAUUGCGAAGGCAUCUCACGAACGGGCGAUUGACGCUGAGGCACGAAAGCGUGGGGAUCAAACAGGAUUAGAUACCCUGGUAGUCCACGCAGUAAACGAUGAUGACUAACCGCCGGCGAUACAAUGAUCGGUGGCCAAGCGAAAGCGAUAAGUCAUCCACCUGGGGAGUACGACCGCAAGGUUGAAACUCAAAGGAAUUGACGGGGGCCCGCACAAGCGGAGGAACAUGUGGUUUAAUUCGAUGAUACGCGAGGAACCUUACCCGGGCUCGAACGGCAGAGGAGCGUGGCAGAGAUGCCACGGCCCUUCGGGGCUUCUGUCGAGGUGCUGCAUGGUUGUCGUCAGCUCGUGCCGUGAGGUGUCGGCUCAAGUGCCAUAACGAGCGCAACCCUUGCCGUCAGUUACCAUCACGUAGAGGUGGGGACUCUGGCGGGACUGCCACCGCAAGGUGAGAGGAAGGGGGGGAUGACGUCAAAUCAGCACGGCCCUUACGUCCGGGGCGACACACGUGUUACAAUGGUGACUACAGAGGGGUACUACCUGGCGACAGGAUGUGAAUCUCGAAAAGUCAUCUCAGUUCGGAUCGGAGUCUGCAACCCGACUCCGUGAAGCUGGAUUCGCUAGUAAUCGCGCAUCAGCCAUGGCGCGGUGAAUACGUUCCCGGGCCUUGUACACACCGCCCGUCAAGCCAUGAAAGUCCGGGGCGCCUGAAGUCCGUGACCGAGAGGAGCGGCCUAGGGCGAAACGGGUAAUUGGGGCUAAGUCGUAACAAGGUAGCCGUACCGGAAGGUGUGGCUGGAUCACCUCCUU